UACGGGGGGAGCAAGCGUUGUUCGGAAUUACUGGGCGUAAAGGGCGCGUAGGCGGCCUUCUAAGUCGAACGUGAAAUCCCCGGGCUCAACCCGGGAACUGCGUCCGAUACUGGAAGGCUUGAAUCCGGGAGAGGGAUGUGGAAUUCCAGGUGUAGCGGUGAAAUGCGUAGAUAUCUGGAGGAACACCGGUGGCGAAGGCGACAUCCUGGACCGGUAUUGACGCUGAGGCGCGAAAGCCAGGGGAGCAAACGGG
rnacentral:rRNA from 1 species